rnacentral:rRNA from 1 species
GACGUAGGGCGCGAGCGUUGUCCGGAUUUAUUGGGCGUAAAGAGCUCGUAGGCGGCUUGUCGCGUCGCCUGUGAAAUCCCGCGGCUCAACCGCGGGUCUGCAGUCGAUACGGGCAGGCUAGAGUUCGGUAGGGGAGACUGGAAUUCCUGGUGUAGCGGUGAAAUGCGCAGAUAUCAGGAGGAACACCGAUGGCGAAGGCAGGUCUCUGGGCCGAUACUGACGCUGAGGAGCGAAAGCGUGGGGAGCGAACAGG